rnacentral:rRNA from 1 species
CGUCCGGCGACCGGCGCACGGGUGAGUAACNCGUNUGCAACCUGCCCUCUUCAGGGGGACAACCUUCCGAAAGGGAGGCUAAUCCCGCGUAUAUCGGUUUCGGGCAUCCGAGAUCGAGGAAAGAUUCAUCGGAAGAGGAUGGGCAUGCGGCGCAUUAGCUAGACGGCGGGGUAACGGCCCACCGUGGCGACGAUGCGUAGGGGUUCUGAGAGGAAGGUCCCCCACACUGGUACUGAGACACGGACCAGACUCCUACGGAAGGCAGCAG